rnacentral:rRNA from 1 species
GCCCGGGACUGAGUUGUUUCGAGAAAAGCGGGGACUGCUGCUCUGAGCGUUUUCGGACGAUCGUUGUGGCGAGAACCGCGUUAAUCGAAACGGCUUGAACCGGGCAAAAGUCGUAACAAGGUUUCCGUAGGUGAACCUGCGGAAGGAUCAUUA